rnacentral:rRNA from 1 species
UACGUAGGGCGCAAGCGUUAUCCGAAAUUAUUGGGCGUAAAGAGCUCGUAGGCGGUUUGUCGCGUCUGCCGUGAAAGUCCGGGGCUCAACUCCGGAUCUGCGGUGGGUACGGGCAGACUAGAGUGAUGUAGGGGAGACUGGAAUUCCUGGUGUAGCGGUGAAAUGCGCAGAUAUCAGGAGGAACACCGGUGGCGAAGGCGGGUCUCUGGGCCGAUACUGACGCUGAGGAGCGAAAGCGUGGGGAGCGAACAGG